rnacentral:rRNA from 1 species
AUACGGAGGAUGCAAGCGUUAUCCGGAUUUAUUGGGUUUAAAGGGUGCGUAGGCUGACGUGUAAGUCAGAGGUGAAAUGUCCGGGCUCAACCUGGAAACUGCCUUUGAUACUGCAUGUCUGGAGUUCGGAUGCCGUGGGAGGAAUGGGCAGUGUAGCGGUGAAAUGCAUAGAUAUUGCCCAGAACACCGAUUGCGAAGGCAUCUCACGAAUCCGACACUGACGCUGAGGCACGAAAGCGUGGGGAUCAAACAGGAUUAGAUACCCUGGUAGUCCACGCAGUAAACGAUGAUAACUAACCGUCGGCGAUAGACAGUCGGUGGCCAAGCGAAAGCGAUAAGUUAUCCACCUGGGGAGUACGUUCGCAAGAAUGAAACUCAAAUGAAUUGACGGGG